rnacentral:rRNA from 1 species
UACGUAGGUGGCAAGCGUUGUCCGGAUUUAUUGGGUUUAAAGGGUGCGUAGGCGGUCUUUUAAGUCAGUGCUGAAAUAUCCCGGCUUAACCGGGAGGGUGGCAUUGAUACUGAAGGACUUGAGUACAGUCGAGGUAGGCGGAAUUGACGGUGUAGCGGUGAAAUGCUUAGAUAUCGUCAAGAACACCGAUAGUGUAGACAGCUUACUAGGCUGAAACUGACGCUGAGGCACGAAAGUGUGGGGAUCAAAACAGG